ACUGUGCAAAGGUAGCAUAAUCAUUUGUCUCUUAAUUGGAGGCUGGUAUGAAUGAUUGGACGAGGUAGAAGCUGUCUCAUUAUUAUAAUUAUAAUAAUUUAGCUUUUUAGUUAAAAGGCUAAAAUUUUUUUGGAGGACGAGAAGACCCUAUAGAUCUUUAUAAUAUUUAAUUUACUUUUAUUUUGGUUAUAAAUUUUUUAGUAUAUUAUAAAUUAUUUUGUUGGGGUGACAUGAAAAUUUAUUUAACUUUUCAUUUAUUUAAACAUGAAUUAGUGAAUAUUUGAUCCAUUUUUAGUGAUUACAAGAAUAAGUUACCUUAGGGAUAA
rnacentral:rRNA from 1 species